rnacentral:rRNA from 1 species
GUCAGGAUGAACGCUGGCGGCGUGCUUAACACAUGCAAGUCGAACGAAGCAAUUGCGACAGAAGCCUUCGGGUGGAAGAUGUAAUUGACUGAGUGGCGGACGGGUGAGUAACGCGUGGGUAACCUGCCUUGUACAGGGGGAUAACAGUUAGAAAUGACUGCUAAUACCGCAUAAGCGCACAGUACCGCAUGGUACAGUGUGAAAAACUCCGGUGGUACAAGAUGGACCCGCGUCUGAUUAGCUAGUUGGUAAGGUAACGGCUUACCAAGGCAACGAUCAGUAGCCGACUUGAGAGAGUGAUCGGCCACAUUGGGACUGAGACACGGCCCAAACUCCUACGGGAGGCAGCAGUGGGGAAUAUUGCACAAUGGGGGAAACCCUGAUGCAGCGACGCCGCGUGAGUGAAGAAGUAUUUCGGUAUGUAAAGCUCUAUCAGCAAGGAAGAUAAUGACGGUACUUGACUAAGAAGCCCCGGCUAACUACGUGCC